rnacentral:rRNA from 1 species
AUGCUGCCGCAGACCCUCGCCGGCUUCCUCUACACGUCCACCGACAACAGCAGACGCGGCCAGCACUUUGCCAGCCUCUCCGGCAACGGUGCAGCCCCGUUCGACCUUUCCCUCCCUUACCUUCACAAUAACAAGGACGACAAGGGCAUCACCCAGGUGGACGCCUGCAAUGGCCUUCUUCUCUACCGUCGCCACAAGAAGAACAAGGUGACCCCUUGGAAAAAAGAGGACGAUUUCGGUUUUGUGGUGUGCAAUCCCGCCAUAGGGAGGUGGAUGGAGCUGCCCCCACAACCGCAGGCGCCACCGAGAAGAUAUACCUACAUCACAGGCCUGGCUAUUGAUCCGGCAGUCUCGUCCCAUUUUCACAUUCUUCUUUUCGAAGAGACCUAUACUGGAUACUACAUCACAGGAGUGAACAUCUACUCAUCGCGAACAGGAGCCUGGAGUCAUAGGGACAGCAGUGGGAUGGUUGAGAAAGUCACCCUGUUCUCUAGGAGUAAAUGUGUCUUUGCUGGAGGUAUGAUGUACCUCAUGGGCAAUCUGGAGGACAUCAACGGUGAGUAUGUGCUGGUGGGGGUGGACAUGGAGGGGAAAGUGUGGAAGACUAUCUGCACUCCGUAUGUUCAAAGAUUUGGAACCAUUGGAUUGUCUCAGGGGUGCUUACACUAUGCUGUAGCUUCUGUCGGUGAUUACAAUGCAAUCCAGUUUACUGAGAUAGCGCUCUGGUGCCUCAAGGAUCGUGACAGUAAAGAAUUAGUCCUGAAGCAUACCGCCAACAUCAAUAAGCUUAUGAGCAUCACUGGAAAGAUGUACGUGGUGGUUGAGAUUCAUCCAGAUUGCGACACCAUUUUCUUGGUUUCAUUUCGUGGUGAUACCUUGGCAGCCUACGAUAUGCAACAUCAGAAAGUUGGCUGUAUCCUUAAUCUUGAGAAGAAUACACGACAAUUUCUACCUUAUGUUCCUCUGUUCUCGGAAUCAUUAGCAGAUGAAGAUGGGCGGUAG